AGAGUUUGAUCCUGGCUCAGGAUGAACGCUGGCGGCGUGCUUAACACAUGCAAGUCGAACGAUUAAACCGCCCUCGGGCGGACAUAGAGUGGCGAACGGGUGAGUAACACGUGACCAACCUGCCCCGCGCUCCGGGACAACCGCUGGAAACGGCGGCUAAUACCGGAUACUCCGGGAGGGCCCCAUGGCCCUGCCGGGAAAGCCGAGACGGCGCGGGAUGGGGUCGCGGCCCAUUAGGUAGACGGCGGGGUAACGGCCCACCGUGCCCGCGAUGGGUAGCCGGACUGAGAGGUCGACCGGCCACAUUGGGACUGAGAUACGGCCCAGACUCCUACGGGAGGCAGCAGUGGGGAAUUUUGCGCAAUGGGGGAAACCCUGACGCAGCAACGCCGCGUGCGGGACGAAGGCCCUCGGGUUGUAAACCGCUUUCAGCAGGGAAGAUCCAAGACGGUACCUGCAGAAGAAGCUCCGGCUAACUACGUGCCAGCAGCCGCGGUAAUACGUAGGGGGCGAGCGUUAUCCGGAUUCAUUGGGCGUAAAGCGCGCGUAGGCGGCCGCCUAAGCGGGACCUCUAACCCCGGGGCUCAACCCCGGGCCGGGUCCCGGACUGGGCGGCUCGAGUGCGGUAGAGGAGAGCGGAAUUCCCGGUGUAGCGGUGGAAUGCGCAGAUAUCGGGAAGAACACCGAUGGCGAAGGCAGCUCUCUGGGCCGUCACUGACGCUGAGGCGCGAAAGCUGGGGGAGCGAACAGGAUUAGAUACCCUGGUAGUCCCAGCCGUAAACGAUGGGCGCUAGGUGUGGGGGGACGAUCCCUCCGUGCCGCAGCCAACGCAUUAAGCGCCCCGCCUGGGGAGUACGGCCGCAAGGCUAAAACUCAAAGGAAUUGACGGGGGCCCGCACAAGCAGCGGAGCAUGUGGCUUAAUUCGAAGCAACGCGAAGAACCUUACCAGGGCUUGACAUGCCGAUGAAGCCGGGGAGACCCGGUGGCCGAGAGGAGUCGGCGCAGGUGGUGCAUGGCUGUCGUCAGCUCGUGUCGUGAGAUGUUGGGUUAAGUCCC
rnacentral:rRNA from 1 species